rnacentral:rRNA from 1 species
GACGAACGCUGGCGGCGUGCUUAACACAUGCAAGUCGAACGGAAAGGCCCUGCUUUUGUGGGGUGCUCGAGUGGCGAACGGGUGAGUAACACGUGAGUAACCUGCCCUUGACUUUGGGAUAAAUUCAGGAAACUGGGGCGAAUAUCGGGUAGGAGCUCCUGCUGCAUGGUGGGGGUUGGUAAGUUUCGGCGGUUGGGGAUGGAAUCGCGGUUUAUCAGCUUGUUGGUGGGGUAGUGGCUUACCAAGGCUUUGAGGGGUAGCCGGCCUGAGAGGGUGACCGGCCACAUUGGGACUGAGAUGCGGCCCAGACUCCUACGGGAGGCAGCAGUGGGGAAUAUUGCACAAUGGGCGGAAGCCUGAUGCAGCAACGCCGCGUGCGGGAUGACGGCUUUCGGGUUGUAAACCGCUUUCGCCUGUGACGAAGCGUGAGUGACGGUAAUGGGUAAAGAAGCACCGGCUAACUACGUG